rnacentral:miRNA from 1 species
UGUGUGUUUGUGUGUGUGUGUGUGUGUGUGUGUGGCAGAAGGGGGAUGCAUAUAUACAUACACACAAACAUACACACUUGUGU